UCCAACACAUGCUACAACAUGGAUGAACCUGGAGGACAUUAUGCUAAGUGAGGUCCUUCAGCAGGGCAUCCAGCUCAUUCUCAUCAAUGUAGCCACUCCCGUCCUGGUGAUGGGGAGCAGAGGAGAGGCAGCACAGAGCUCUAGAACUCAGGCCCCGCCACCCCUGACCUUGCCUCCCCAUUCCCUCAACUCUUCCCGGGGGCCUGCAGAGUCUAACCUUCCCUUUACUCUGCGCAGAAGGUGUUCACACCGUGCGGUGCCAGGAUGACACCUAACUGCUGACUUUUACCAGUCAAGGCAGGAACAGGACAUUUUGGGGCAAAUUUGCAUUCUGGUGUUUUUCAUUUGCAUUAAAAAUAUAAAUGAGGUUCAAGAAGCAUUUAGCUAAC